rnacentral:rRNA from 1 species
AGAUUGAACGCUGGCGGCAUGCCUUACACAUGCAAGUCGAACGGCAGCACGGGGGAAACCCUGGUGGCGAGUGGCGAACGGGUGAGUAAUAUAUCGGAACGUACCCUAGAGUGGGGGAUAACGCAGCGAAAGUUGCGCUAAUACCGCAUACGAUCUACGGAUGAAAGUGGGGGAUCGCAAGACCUCAUGCUCCUGGAGCGGCCGAUAUCUGAUUAGCUUAGGUUGGGUAGGGUAAACGGCCUAACGAAGGCAUCGAUCAGUAGCUGGUCUGAGGAGGACCGACACGACCACACGUAGGAACUGAAGACGACCGGUCCAACG